rnacentral:rRNA from 1 species
GAUAAACGCUGGCGGCGCACAUAAGACAUGCAAGUCGAACGAACUUAGGCGUUAGUUUACUAAUGAAGCGGUUAGUGGCGGACUGGUGAGUAACACGUAAGCAACCUGCCUAUUAGAGGGGAACAACAGUUAGAAAUGACUGCUAAUACCGCAUAUGCCAUAAGUAUCGCAUGAUACAAGUGGGAAAGGAGCAAUCCGCUAAUAGAUGGGCUUGCGUCUGAUUAGAUAGUUGGUGGGGUAACGGCCUACCAAGUCGACGAUCAGUAGCCGAGUUGAGAGACUCUACGGCCACAUUGGGACUGAGAUACGGCCCAGACUCCUACGGGAGGCAGCAGUCGGGAAUAUUGCGCAAUGGAGGAAACUCUGACGCAGUGACGCCGCGUGCAGGAAGAAGGUUUUCGGAUUGUAAACUGCUUUAGACAGGGAAGAAAAAGACAGUACCUGUAGAAUAAGCUCCGGCUAACUACGUGCCAGCAGCCGCGGUAAUACGUAGGGAGCAAGCGUUAUCUGGAUUUAUUGGGUGUAAAGGGUGCGUAGACGGGAAAAUAAGUUAGUUGUGAAAUCCCCAUGCUUAACAUGGGAACUGCAACUAAAACUGUUUUUCUUGAGUGCUGGAGAGGAAAGUGGAAUUCCUAGUGUAGCGGUGAAAUGCGUAGAUAUUAGGAGGAACACCAGUGGCGAAGGCGACUUUCUGGACAGUAACUGACGUUGAGGCACGAAAGUGUGGGGAGCAAACAGGAUUAGAUACCCUGGUAGUCCACACCGUAAACG